CCUACGGGAGACUGCAGUGGGGAAUAUUGCACAAUGGGGGAAACCCUGAUGCAGCGACGCCGCGUGAGUGAAGAAGUAAUUCGUUAUGUAAAGCUCUAUCAGCAGGGAAGAAAAUGACGGUACCUGAGUAAGAAGCCCCGGCUAACUACGUGCCAGCAGCCGCGGUAAUACGUAGGGGGCAAGCGUUAUCCGGAUUUACUGGGUGGAAAGGGAGCGUAGACGGCAGUGCAAGUCUGGAGUGAAAGGCGGGGGCUCAACCCCCGGACUGCUCUGGAAACUGUACGGCUGGAGUGCAGGAGAGGUAAGUGGAAUUCCUAGUGUAGCGGUGAAAUGCGUAGAUAUUAGGAGGAACACCAGUGGCGAAGGCGGCUUACUGGACUGUAACUGACGUUGAGGCUCGAAAGCGUGGGGAGCAAACAGGAUUAGAUACCCCUGUAGUC
rnacentral:rRNA from 1 species